UCGCUUUAGCAGCGUAUGUACUCAAGUUCGAGUGAUACAGAGAAGGCUAGCAUGGCACAGGGAAGGCACAAAAAUUUGUGAUGUGCUCCAUAUUUUU
ensembl:snRNA U6 U6 spliceosomal RNA